rnacentral:rRNA from 1 species
AAGCAUAUAACUAAGCGGAGGAAAAGAAACUAACCAGGAUUCCCUCAGUAAGGGCGACUGAAGCGGGAAGUGCUCAGGAUGUGAAUCUGCGCUUGUAUGAGCGCCGAAUUGUGGUCUGUCGACUGUGGCAUUACUGGCCGGGCCAAGUCCCUUGGAACAGGGCAGCUGAGAGGGUGAGACUCCCGUAGGCCUGGCUGGGUGAGCUAUGAGUCAAUGAGUCGAGUUGUUUGGGAUUGCAGCUCAAAGCGGGUGGUAAAUUCCAUCUAAAGCUAAAUAUUGGUGGGAGACCGAUAGCGUACAAGUACCGUGAGGGAAAGAUGCAAAGAACUUUGAAAAGAGAGUUAAAGAGUACCUGAAAUUGCUGAAAGGGAAGCGAAGGAAACCAGUGUCGGCGUGGUCAUAUUUCCCUGUCCGCUUGCGGAUUGGGCGCUGUGUCCUGUCUAUGUUGUUCUUGGUUGGUUUCGGUGGAAGAGCGCGGACAGAGUUGAUGUUCGUUGCUAGCAUCGUAGUUGACUGAGGAGGACGAAAUGGUUUUCUUUACCCCGUCUUG